rnacentral:rRNA from 1 species
UACGGAGGAUGCAAGCGUUAUCCGGAAUGAUUGGGCGUAAAGCGUCCGCAGGUGGCAAUGUAAGUCUGCUGUCAAAGCGUCUGGCUCAACCAGAUAAAGGCAGUGGAAACUACAUAGCUAGAGUAAGGUAGGGGUAGAGGGAAUUCCUGGUGUAGCGGUGAAAUGCGUAGAGAUCAGGAAGAACACCGGUGGCGAAAGCGCUUUGCUGGACCUUAACUGACACUGAGGGACGGAAGCUAGGGGAGCGAAUGGG